GCCACAUGUCUGUAGUCCCAGAUACUUGAGAGGCAAAGGAAGAAGGAUCCCUUGAGUCCAGGAAUUCUGGGCUGUAGUGUGCUAUGCUGAUUGGGUGUCCGCACUAAGUUCAGCAUCAGUAUGGUGACCUCCUGGGAACAGGAGACUGCCAGGUUGCCUAAGAAGGGAUGUCCCAGCCCAGUUCAGAAAUGGAGCAGGUCAGAACUCCCACGCUGAUCAGUAAUGGGAUUGGGCUUGUGAAUAGCCACUGCUCGCCAGCCUGGGCAACAUAGUGAGUGAGAACAUGUUUCUUA
ensembl:misc_RNA Metazoa_SRP Metazoan signal recognition particle RNA